rnacentral:rRNA from 1 species
CACAACAAUAAGCGGAGGAAAAGAAACCAACAGGGAUUGCCCUAGUAACGGCGAGUGAAGCGGCAACAGCUCAAAUUUGAAAUCUGGCGUCUUUGGCGUCCGAGUUGUAAUUUGCAGAGGGCGCUUUGGCAUCGGCAGCGGUCCAAGUUCCUUGGAACAGGACGUCACAGAGGGUGAGAAUCCCGUACGUGAUCGCUAGCCUUUACCGUGUAAAGCCCCUUCGACGAGUCGAGUUGUUUGGGAAUGCAGCUCUAAAUGGGAGGUAAAUUUCUUCUAAAGCUAAAUACUGGCCAGAGACCGAUAGCGCACAAGUAGAGUGAUCGAAAGAUGAAAAGCACUUUGGAAAGAGAGUUAAAAAGCACGUGAAAUUGUUGAAAGGGAAGCGCUUGCAGCCAGACUUGCCUGUAGUUGCUCAUCCGGGUUUCUACCCGGUGCACUCUUCUAUAGGCAGGCCAGCAUCAGUUUGGGCGGUUGGAUAAAGGUCUCUGUCAUGUACCUCUCUUCGGGGAGAACUUAUAGGGGAGACGACAUGCAACCAGCCUGGACUGAGGUCCGCGCAUCUGCUAGGAUGCUGGCGUAAUGGCUGUAAGCGGCCCGUCUUGAAACACGGACCAAGGAGUCUAACAUCUAUGCGAGUGUUUGGGUGUCAAGCCCGAACGCGUAAUGAAAGUGAACGGAGGUGGGAACCUUUCGGGGUGCACCAUCGACCGAUCCUGAUGUCUUCGGAUGGAUUUGAGUAAGAGCAUAGCUGUUGGGACCCGAAAGAUGGUGAACUAUGCUUGAAUAGGGUGAAGCCAGAGGAAACUCUGGUGGAGGCUCGCAGCGGUUCUGACGUGCAAAUCGAUCGUCAAAUUUGGGCAUAGGGGCGAAAGACUAAUCGAACUAUCUAGUAGCUGGUCCUGCGUGU